rnacentral:tRNA from 1 species
GGAGGGGUGCCAGAGUGGUUGAAUGGGGCGGUCUCGAAAACCGUUGUAGCGUUUAUCGCUACCGUGGGUUCGAAUCCCACCCCCUCCGCCA